rnacentral:rRNA from 1 species
AACAUGUCUAUUAGAAGAUAUUAACAGUCUAGCCUGCUCACUGAUAUAUUAUUUUAAGAGCCGCGGUAUUUUGACCGUGCAAAGGUAGCAUAAUCAUUAGCUUUUUAAUUGGGAGCUUGUAUGAAUGGUUGGACAAAAGAGUAGCUGUCUUUAUUAUAAAGGUUGAAUUUAACUUUUAAGUGAAAAGGCUUAAAUAAUUCAGGGGGACGAUAAGACCCUAUAAAGUUUUAUAGUUUACUUUUAUUUAACUUAAUUAUAAUUGUCAUAUAAAGGUUUAAUUGGAGGAAAUAUUUUGUUGGGGCGACAUAGGUAUAAAUAUUAUAACUGCUUAUAUAUAAUACAAUAAUGGUUGUGUAAUUAAUUGAUCCUUUAUAAAGAUUUAAGAUUAAGUUACUUUAGGGAUAACAGCGUUAUUUUUUUUGAGAGUUCAUAUCGAAAAAGAAGUUUGCGACCUCGAUGUUGAAUUAAAUGUCUUCUCAGUGCAGCCGUUGAGAGAAGAAGGUCUGUUCGACCUUAAAAUUUUUACGUGA